rnacentral:rRNA from 1 species
AUACAGGUGCUGCAUAGGCGUGUCGUCAGCUCCGUGUCGUGAGAUGUUGGGUUAAGUCCCGNAACGAGCGCAACCCUUUUCCUUAUUUGCCAGCGGGUCAUGCCGGGAACUUUAAGGAUACUGCCAGUGACAAACUGGAGGAAGGCGGGGACGACGUCAAGUCAUCAUGGCCCUUACGGCCAGGGCUACACACGUGCUACAAUGGUCGGUACAAAGGGUUGCUACCUCGCGAGAGGAUGCUAAUCUCAAAAAGCCGAUCGUAGUCCGGAUCGCAGUCUGCAACUCGACUGCGUGAAGUCGGAAUCGCUAGUAAUCGCGGAUCAGAAUGCCGCGGUGAAUACGUUCCCGGGCCUUGUACACACCGCCCGUCACACCAUGGGAGUUUGUUGCACCAGAAGUAGGUAGUCUAACCGCAAGGAGGACGCUUACCACGGUGUGGCCGAUGACUGGGGUGAAGUCGUAACAAGGUAGGCGUAGAUGA